GUCCCUGUAGUGCAAUGGAUAGCACGUUGGACUUCUCAUCCAAAGGUCGAGGAUUUAAAUCUUCCCUGGGAUG